rnacentral:tRNA from 1 species
GGUCCCAUGGUCAAUCGGUUAAGACACCGCCCUUUCACGGCGGAGUGAGCAGUUCGAUUCUGCUUGGGAUCACCA